rnacentral:rRNA from 1 species
GAUGAACGUUGGCGGCGUGCCUAAUACAUGCAAGUCGAACGAAGACUGUAGUAAUACCGUCUUAGUGGCGAACGGGUGAGUAACGCGUGGGUGACCUGCCCCGAAGUGUGGGAUAACAGUUCGAAAGGAUUGCUAAUACUGCAUAACAUCCAAGAGAUUAGACGCUUUUGGAUUAAAGGAGUAAUUCGCUUCGGGAGGGGCCCGCGUCCCAUCAGCUAGUUGGUAAGGUAAUGGCUUACCAAGGCGAUGACGGGUAGGGGACCUGAGAGGGUGGCCCCCCACAAUGGAACUGAAACACGGUCCAUACACCUACGGGUGGCAGCAGUAGGGAAUAUUAGUAAUGGGCGAAAGCCUGAACUAGCAACGCCGCGUGUGCGAAGAAGGCCUUCGGGUUGUAAAGCACUUUUUGAGAGGAUGAGGAAGGACGGUACUCUCAGAAUAAGUCUCGGCUAACUACGUGCCAGCAGCCGCGGUAACACGUAGGAGGCAAACGUUAUCCGGAUUUACUGGGCGUAAAGCGCGUGUAGGUGGUUUGGUAAGUAGGGCGUGAAAGCUCCUGGCUCAACUGGGAGAGGACGUUCUAAACUGCCAAGCUUGAGGAUGGUAGAGGGAGGUGGAAUUCCGGGUGUAGCGGUGGAAUGCGCAGAUAUCCGGAGGAACACCAGUGGCGAAGGCGGCCUCCUGGACCACUCCUGACACUCAGACGCGAAAGCUAGGGUAGCAAACGGGAUUAGAGACCCCGGUAGUCCUAGCCCUAAACGAUGUAGACUUGGCGUCGGUGGUUUAAUCGCCAUCGGUGUCGUAGCUAACGCGUUAAGUCUACCGCCUGGGGACUACGGCCGCAAGGUUAAAACUCAA